rnacentral:rRNA from 1 species
UACGUAGGGGGCUAGCGUUGUCCGGAAUCAUUGGGCGUAAAGCGCGCGUAGGCGGCCCGGUAAGUCCGCUGUAAAAGUCAAAGGCUCAACCUUUGAAUGUCAGUGGAUACUGCCGGGCUAGAGUCCGGAAGAGGCGAGUGGAACUCCUGGUGUAGCGGUGGAAUGCGCAGAUAUCAGGAAGAACACCCGUGGCGAAGGCGGUUCUCUGGGACGGUACUGACGCUGAGACGCGAAAGCGUGGGGAGCGAACAGG